GACGAACGCUGGCGGCGUGCUUAACACAUGCAAGUCGAACGGAAAGACCCUGCUUUUGUGGGGUGCUCGAGUGGCGAACGGGUGAGUAACACGUGAGUAACCUGCCCUUGACUUUGGGAUAACUUCAGGAAACUGGGCCUAAUACCGGAUAGGAGCUCCUGCUGCAUGGUGGGGGUUGGAAAGUUUCGGCGGUUGGGGAUGGACUCGCGGCUUAUCAGCUUGUUGGUGGGGUAGUGGCUUACCAAGGCUUUGACGGGUAGCCGGCCUGAGAGGGUGACCGGCCACAUUGGGACUGAGAUACGGCCCAGACUCCUACGGGAGGCAGCAGUGGGGAAUAUUGCACAAUGGGCGGAAGCCUGAUGCAGCAACGCCGCGUGCGGGAUGACGGCCUUCGGGUUGUAAACCGCUUUCGCCUGUGACGAAGCGUGAGUGACGGUAAUGGGUAAAGAAGCACCGGCUAACUACGUG
rnacentral:rRNA from 1 species